rnacentral:rRNA from 1 species
AACGAACGCUGGCGGCAUGCCUAACACAUGCAAGUCGAACGAGACCUUCGGGUCUAGUGGCGCACGGGUGCGUAACGCGUGGGAAUCUGCCCUUGGGUUCGGAAUAACAGUUAGAAAUGACUGCUAAUACCGGAUGAUGACUUCGGUCCAAAGAUUUAUCGCCCAAGGAUGAGCCCGCGUCGGAUUAGCUUGUUGGUGAGGUAAAAGCUCACCAAGGCGACGAUCCGUAGCUGGUCUGAGAGGAUGAUCAGCCACACUGGGACUGAGACACGGCCCAGACUCCUACGGGAGGCAGCAGUGGGGAAUAUUGGACAAUGGGCGAAAGCCUGAUCCAGCAAUGCCGCGUGAGUGAUGAAGGCCUUAGGGUUGUAAAGCUCUUUUACCCGGGAUGAUAAUGACAGUACCGGGAGAAUAAGCCCCGGCUAACUCCGUGCCAGCAGCCGCGGUAACAC